GACGAACCGAGCGAACGUUGUUCGGAAUCACUGGGCUUAAAGGGCGCGUAGGCGGGCUGUCAAGUCUGGGGUGAAAUCCCGCGGCUCAACCGCGGAACGGCCUCGGAUACUGUCGGCCUCGAGGGGGGUAGGGGCAUUUGGAACUGUCGGUGGAGCGGUGAAAUGCGUUGAUAUCGACAGGAACUCCGGUGGCGAAGGCGAGGUGCUGGACCCCUUCUGACGCUGAGGCGCGAAAGCGUGGGGAGCAAACAGG
rnacentral:rRNA from 1 species